rnacentral:rRNA from 1 species
AGAGUUUGAUCCUGGCUCAGGACGAACGCUGGCGGCACGCUUAACACAUGCAAGUCGAACGAGGGAAGAGGAGCUUGCUUUUCUGAUCUAGUGGCGGACGGGUGAGUAACACGUGAGCAAUCUGCCUUUCAGAGGGGGAUACCGAUUGGAAACGAUCGUUAAUACCGCAUAACAUAAUUGAACCGCAUGAUUUGAUUAUCAAAGAUUUAUCGCUGAAAGAUGAGCUCGCGUCUGAUUAGCUAGUUGGUAAGGUAACGGCUUACCAAGGCGACGAUCAGUAGCCGGACUGAGAGGUUGAUCGGCCACAUUGGGACUGAGACACGGCCCAGACUCCUACGGGAGGCAGCAGUGGGGAAUAUUGCACAAUGGAGGAAACUCUGAUGCAGCGAUGCCGCGUGAGGGAAGAAGGUUUUAGGAUUGUAAACCUCUGUCUUCAGGGACGAAAAAAGACGGUACCUGAGGAGGAAGCUCCGGCUAACUACGUGCCAGCAGCCGCGGUAAUACGUAGGGAGCGAGCGUUGUCCGGAAUUACUGGGUGUAAAGGGAGCGUAGGCGGGGUCGCAAGUCAGAUGUGAAAACUGUGGGCUUAACCCAUAAACUGCAUUUGAAACUGUGGUUCUUGAGUGAAGUAGAGGUAAGCGGAAUUCCUAGUGUAGCGGUGAAAUGCGUAGAUAUUAGGAGGAACAUCAGUGGCGAAGGCGGCUUACUGGGCUUUAACUGACGCUGAGGCUCGAAAGCGUGGGGAGCAAACAGGAUUAGAUACCCUGGUAGUCCACGCCGUAAACGAUGAUUACUAGGUGUGGGGGGACUGACCCCUUCCGUGCCGCAGCAAACGCAAUAAGUAAUCCACCUGGGGAGUACGACCGCAAGGUUGAAACUCAAAGGAAUUGACGGGGGCCCGCACAAGCAGUGGAGUAUGUGGAUUAAUUCGAAGCAACGCGAAGAACCUUACCAGGUCUUGACAUCGUAUGCAUAGCUCAGAGAUGAGUGAAAUCUCUUCGGAGACAUAUAGACAGGUGGUGCAUGGUUGUCGUCAGCUCGUGUCGUGAGAUGUUGGGUUAAGUCCCGCAACGAGCGCAACCCUUACUGUUAGUUGCUACGCAAGAGCACUCUAGCAGGACUGCCGUUGACAAAACGGAGGAAGGUGGGGAUGACGUCAAAUCAUCAUGCCCCUUAUGACCUGGGCCUCACACGUACUUCAAUGGCUGUCAACAGAGGGAAGCAAAGCCGCGAGGUGGAGCGAACCCCUAAAAGCAGUCUUAGUUCGGAUUGUAGGCUGCAACCCGCCUACAUGAAGUCGGAAUUGCUAGUAAUCGCAGAUCAGCAUGCUGCGGUGAAUACGUUCCCGGGCCUUGUACACACCGCCCGUCACGCCAUGGGAGUCGGUAACACCCGAAGCCUGCAGUCUAACCGCAAGGAGGACGCAGUCGAAGGUGGGAUUGAUGACUGGGGUGAAGUCGUGACAAGGUA